UUAUUUUACAAUUAUGAAAUAUUUACUAAUAUCAAUUUAUGUUUUAGAACCACAGUACUAUUUUUUGUCCUUUAAAUGAUAUCUAAAUUUGUUUUUUUCGCCUUUUAUUAAAAAUAUUGCUAUGCGUAUAAGCAUAAAUACUAUAUACUUGUGCGACCCCUUUUAGUUUUACUGAAAACUGCGCAGACUAAGAAAUGUUUUUAUAAGUGCAAAAUGUUCAAUGAUAGAUAUCAUUUUGUCAGACACUUUUAUUUUUUUGAUUUGGUUCUAAUAACAUGCCAAAAAUCGGUAUAUUUAAUAGAGUUUAACAUUAAAUUAAGCGUUUUACUCUUAACAGACGUAUAACCAACCCGAUUAACAGACCAAUCGCCCAUAUAGCCGCAUACUCAAUAUAGAUUAACCGACCAAUCUCUCGGUUAGCCGAGUGUCGGCCGUGUAUA
rnacentral:lncRNA from 1 species